GCGAUCGCCUCGCGCACGGGGAGCGCCUGCGCCUCGAGCGCGCCGGCCCCGAUCCGGGGACCCCGCUCCUCGCCGAUCGCG
rnacentral:tRNA from 1 species